GGAGAAACUGCCAACAGAGUAAACAGACAACCUACAGAAUGGGAGAAAAUUUUCACAAACUAUGCAUCUGACAAAGGUCUAAUAUCCAGCAUCUAUAAGGAACUUAAAGAAAUUUACAAGAAAAACAAAACAUAAAAAAAUCCAGAGUGAAGCUAAGUCUUCCAAGUCAAAUGGGUGUGUUAGCCAGGUAUCAAGGAAGAGGAGGAGAGAGGGCAGCAAGGAUGAAGGAGAAGCAUGUGCUAAGAUGCGGUGUACCGUCCGUCUGGUCACACCUCUGAACAGUGCUGGAAGAAUGCCAUGCCUGCCUAUCAUGAUGACACCCACUUCUAUUUCAAAAGUUGACCCCAAAUCCUUCUCUGAUAGAGAAAAUGAAGUAUUCAGAAGUUAGAUGAUUUGGCCAAAUUUACUGCCUUCAGAGAGAUCUUCCUUGUCCAGCUCUAUUUCCAGACAUCACCUGCUUCCAGAUUCCCAUCCACCAAUGUGGACUUCCGUGUCUCUAGGCACUAGCUGUUCCCAUGCCCUCUUCCCAUUGUUGCCUUACCCCUUCCAUAUAUCACUCUGUUGGCCAGCGUGAGCAUGCUUGAGAACCAUCCCCAGCUCCUGCCUCACCCACUCGGCCAGUCUAGGGCACAGUCCAGACCCAUCACCAUCAGACUGGGCCUCGAGCAGU